GCUGGGCGCGGUGGCCCACGCCUGUAAUCCCAGCACUUUGGGAAGCCGAGGCAGGUGGAUCACCUGAGGUCAGGAGUUCGAGACCAGCCUGGCCAACAUGGUGAAACCCCGUCUCUA
ensembl:misc_RNA Metazoa_SRP Metazoan signal recognition particle RNA